UGGGGAAUUUUGGACAAUGGGGGCAACCCUGAUCCAGCCAUGCCGCGUGAGUGAAGAAGGCCUUCGGGUUGUAAAGCUCUUUCAGACGGAAAGAAAACGCAUCGGUGAAUACCCGGUGUGGAUGACGGUACCGUAAGAAGAAGCACCGGCUAACUACGUGCCAGCAGCCGCGGUAAUACGUAGGGUGCGAGCGUUAAUCGGAAUUACUGGGCGUAAAGCGUGCGCAGGCGGUUAUGUAAGACAGAUGUGAAAUCCCCGGGCUCAACCUGGGAACUGCGUUUGUGACUGCAUAACUAGAGUACGGCAGAGGGAGGUGGAAUUCCGCGUGUAGCAGUGAAAUGCGUAGAUAUGCGGAGGAACACCGAUGGCGAAGGCAGCCUCCUGGGCCAGUACUGACGCUCAUGCACGAAAGCGUGGGGAGCAAACAGGAUUAGAUACCCUGGUAGUCCACGCCCUAAACGAUGUCAACUAGUUGUUCGGUGAGGAGACUCAUUGAGUAACGCAGCUAACGCGUGAAGUUGACCGCCUGGGGAGUACGGCCGCAAGGUUA
rnacentral:rRNA from 1 species